rnacentral:misc_RNA from 1 species
CAAACACGCUCCCAACCCCUCAUCGGGAGUGGGAUGCGGCUUGUGGCCCCCCGUCUCGCAAGGGGCGGUGGGCCGAAGAUGCGGCUGCCGGCGUAUCGUGUCGGACACAGCGCGUGGUGGGCGACCUCGCUUUACUUACCGCAGUGCAUCCGGCCCGUAGCCGAUGUGAUGGCCUUGAAGGACCCUAUAAACGGAGCGCAUGACGCUUCGA